rnacentral:rRNA from 1 species
AGCGCAGGCCUACCAUGCAGUCGAGCGCACCUUCGGGUGAGCGGCGGACGGGUUAGUAACGCGUGGGAAUAUACCCUUCACUACGGAAUAGCCUCGGGAAACUGAGAGUAAUACCGUAUACGCCCUUCGGGGGAAAGAUUUAUCGGUGAAGGAUUAGCCCGCGUCUGAUUAGAUAGUUGGUGGGGUAACGGCCUACCAAGUCUACGAUCAGUAGCUGGUUUGAGAGGAUGAUCAGCAACACUGGGACUGAGACACGGCCCAGACUCCUACGGGAGGCAGCAGUGGGGAAUCUUAGACAAUGGGCGCAAGCCUGAUCUAGCCAUGCCGCGUGAGUGACGAAGGCCCUAGGGUCGUAAAGCUCUUUCGCCAGGGAUGAUAAUGACAGUACCUGGUAAAGAAACCCCGGCUAACUCCGUGCCAGCAGCCGCGGUAAUACGGAGGGGGUUAGCGUUGUUCGGAAUUACUGGGCGUAAAGCGUACGUAGGCGGAUUAGAAAGUAGGGGGUGAAAUCCCAGGGCUCAACCCUGGAACUGCCUCCUAAACUACUAGUCUAGAGUUCGAGAGAGGUGAGUGGAAUUCCAAGUGUAGAGGUGAAAUUCGUAGAUAUUUGGAGGAACACCAGUGGCGAAGGCGGCUCACUGGCUCGAUACUGACGCUGAGUACGAAAGUGUGGGGAGCAAACAGGAUUAGAUACCCUGGUAGUCCACACCGUAAACGAUGAUGCCAGACGUCGGGGGCUGCCCUCGGUGUCACACCUACGAUAGCAUCCGCCUGGGGGAGUACGUCGCAGAUAACUCAAAGAUGACGGGGCCGGCAAGCGGUGACAUGUGGUAUCCGAGCACGGCGAACUACACUGACUCUGGA